UCUUUAUUUCACUGUAAAUAUUGCAUCAUUAUAGCACCAGUGGCUGGAAAAAAAAAAAAAUCUGUUCUACUGAAAUCCUGCCUCCUGGGCCUUCCUACCACCUACCUUGACUGUUUUGAUCUGUCCCGAAACCACUGCACUCCAAUAUCACUCUGGGGUCUUUUCCAGGACCUUUAAUUGUGGCCAGAAAUUUAAGAUUCUUCCACUGGGCACUAUUUUAGGGGCAACCUGAAGAUAAAGGCAGAAGGACAAAGACUAUGUGACCCCUUCAGUGGUGCUGUACAGCCUGUUCUCGCACUUGCAUAUUUGGAAGUAACCCUUAUGAACCACACCAUUUCCCUCUUGCAUAUACCUGCUGUGCAGUACAUAAAUACCUUGGCAGUGUCUUGUUCUAGA